AGACGCGCCGCGCCCAGGCUCUGCCCGCAGCCGGGGGCUCCGGCGGGGCCGGCGCACACCGUGGGACCUCCCCGCUCCCUCCACGCCCCGCUGCGGCGGGCGAGGCUGAAUAAAGAGACGCCGAUCGUGCCCAGCAGAGAGGAGAGGGAUGGGGGUAGAGUGAGCCGUGAGAACAAUUUCGCUAAGAGAAUGAGGGUCUCCUGCCAGCACCCAAGGAUCACCGUUAGCAGCGGCUGGCAUGCAAAUUACUGGUACCCGGAAUCCCUGAAGGUUCCUGUGCGAGAGCAUCUUUCCGCUAGACAUGAAAGAAUAUCGGCAGGCGGCGGAUGCUGAGAAACCCAAAUUGCACCGCCAGCCAGACAUGCAGGGAAAAAAAAAAAAAAAUCACGUUCUUUUGGCACGUGAACAAAGCCCUCGGCAAUAACUGCGCUGGUAGGAAGGGGAGCUGGACCCGCCGCUUGCUGUCCCCACUCAGGACGGCUGGUGGGGCGCGAUGUGGGUGAUCCACGAAGCCAGUGGGAGCUCCAUCCUCGCAGGAUGGCUGAGAGAAAUCUCGCAGCGGCUCGCAAACCGAUACCGUGUCGGUAAGAGAUGGCAGCUCGGCUUUCAUCCUCAUGCCAAAGGGAAUCCUCGGCGGAUGGCACAGGAUCUACUCCAGGGGAAGCAGUCCAGCAAGAGCCGAGGAAAGCCAGGGUCCAGACUGGGUUUGAUGAAGACUCCCUCCAUGGCUUUCCAAUAGUUGUGGUGGUUGGCAGCAGGCAUGCCAUGAACUUCCCGCUGGCCUCUAAUGGGGUGGCCGUACUGCUCCCCCGUGAUGGACAGGAACACCUCAGUCCCCACGUGCUUGAAGCGCACGGCAUCCUCCCGCUCCCAGUAAGUCCCACUGCACUGCACAAUCCAGAAAUCCAGGUCAUCUCCUUCGCCAUCAUCCCCAAAGGCACUUACUUCCUGUUAGAGACACAAGCUUCCUGAAGUGAAAGUGUAAGCAAACACCUCCAGGACACACAGACAUCAACCACAGACUCAGCAGAGAUCAAAGACAAGGAUGGGGAAAGAAAUGCUGUUGUUUUGCUUUGUCAACAAUUACCUAAGCCAGAAGCAGUAAGGUUCUACCAGACAAUCUGAACACAAAGUGUCAACAAACUCCAACCUGUUCUCUGAGCAAAAAGUACUGGAAAAACUCUAAAUAAAACAAAACCCCACAAUGACAGUUGAAUAUUCUUACCUUAAUGACAAGAUACAAAGUGUCUACACUGAAAAAUGAAACCCAGACGAAGGUUUCAGAGUAAACCUUUCCCUUAAAGAAUUCUUUUGAAAUGUUAUUUUUCCAUCACUUUUAAUCAUCAGAUUAUCAAGAUACGCUACACAGAGCUGAACCUUAUUGCUUCAGCCACUUUACUCAUGGUGGAAGAAAAAUUAUUCCACAAAGAGUCACAUCGUCCAAGUUUCAAUGUAACAACCUAUCUACACAGCCUGAUGGAAGACUGACAUGACUAAUAACAAAAAUCUUCCAACAACUGCAUUAUUUACAAGAGAUCUUCCAUUCUGGAGAGGUAUUUGUUCUGGGGCUGAAUUAUGGUUAGAAAUUACACUCUUUUAGAUAGGUACAAAACUGUAUUUAAGUAUGAUUACAAGAGCAGUUCAGUUUUCCUGUGGAAGGAGGACAGAAAAAUACGAACAGUGUAACGAAAUAGAGAUAGCAAGAAGACAAAUGAGAUUAACAGACUGGAUCACCAAGGAACAUGGACAUAGGAAUGCUUAAUGUUAUAACACAUGACUAGUUGCCUGGCUCUAGAGCAAUCUUCACAAUGUUGAGAGAGGUACUCAAUCACCUGCAUCUAAAAAACAUCCGACAUUUCAGAACAGCCUUCCCAGCAGCAACAGUGCAGAAAAAGAAAAAAAAGCAGAUUUGUUAAAAGUACUGUGAAAUUCCAAUGCUGGCACAUACUGUACUGCCUCUGUCAAGAACUGAAAUACAUCAUUUUAAGAUGCAGAAAAACCUAUACUUGAAUCUGGAUAUGCACAGACAUACUGCUGCUGGUAGCUGGUACUCAAGUCUGAGUCUCCAAAAACCCAAGUAACUGGAGAGACUAUUGUCAAUAGCAUGCACUACUUGUACAAAAGCUUAAGAUUUAAACCAACUCACUUGGUUAUUGGAGAGUGGUGAUGGGAAGUGAUGAGUGUGCAGAUUUUUCCCAGUGUUAACGUGGGUAAGUCGUAUGGCUUGCCCACAUUUCACAGGUGUCCCACGCUGGCAACUGUUGUCACUCUUCCCACGGAUCCGCCAGUAGCUGUUGGCAUCAUCUGAAGCUUCAACUCCUGUCACUGACUGCUGCCCACUUCCUGUUUGAAUAGAAUUAAAUGACACAAGACU